UACGGAGGGGGCAAGCGUUGUUCGGAGUUACUGGGCGUAAAGCGCGCGUAGGCGGUGCGGUAAGUCAGGGGUUAAAGGCUGCAGCUCAACUGCAGUAAGGCCUUUGAUACUAUCGCGCUAGAGUACCAGAGAGGAUGGCGGAAUUCCCGGUGUAGCGGUGAAAUGCGUAGAUGUCGGGAGGAACACCAGUAGCGAAGGCGGCCAUCUGGCUGGUAACUGACGCUGAGGUGCGAGAGCGUGGGGAGCAAACAGG
rnacentral:rRNA from 1 species